UGUUGAAACCAUUCGAAACAACACAGCGAGUUAAAAUAAGGCUUUGUCCGUACUCAUUUUUGCGCACCGAUUCGGUGCUUUUUUG
rnacentral:sRNA from 13 species